UACGGGGGGAGCAAGCGUUGUUCGGAUUUACUGGGCGUAAAGGGCGCGUAGGCGGCGUAACAAGUCACUUGUGAAAUCUCCGGGCUUAACCCGGAGCGGCCAAGUGAUACUGUUGUGCUAGAGUGCGGAAGGGGCUACUGGAAUUCUCGGUGUAGCGGUGAAAUGCGCAGAUAUCAGGAGGAACACCGAUUGCGAAGGCAGCUCGCUGGGACGUCACUGACGCUGAGACGCGAAAGCGUGGGGAGCAAACAGG
rnacentral:rRNA from 1 species